CCAGGCAAUCGCGCUACCGCUUGAGCCACAUCCCCAGCCCCAAGCAUUGUGGUUAUUUAGGCUGUCAGGUGGCCUGAAAAAUCCAUCUUUGCUGGUCAGCACAGCCUCUUUUGGUGAGAAAAGUGACACAAGGAGGCCAUCACAAGUGGAAGAAGGAAGAUGAAAGUCGAAUGGAGUAUGUGAGUCGAUGGAGCUCAGGAGACUAUGGUGUCAAGCUCUGAAAGCUUAAGGCAUCCAGUACUUGGUUUGGAGUGUUUAUGGGCAUAAACGUGAGUUUGUUUAUCAUUAGGAGGCCCUAAGUUGCUGCUCUGCCACUCCAUGACACCUCUUAGAUCCUUGGGACUUCACAGAUUUCAUAAAUUCUUAUUCACUUUA